rnacentral:rRNA from 1 species
GACGAACGCUGGCGGCGUGCUUAACACAUGCAAGUCGAACGGAAAGGCCCUGCUUUUGUGGGGUGCUCGAGUGGCGAACGGGUGAGUAACACGUGAGUAACCUGCCCUUGACUUUGGGAUAACUUCAGGAAACUGGGGCUAAUACCGGAUAGGAGCUCCUGCUGCAUGGUGGUGGUUGGAAAGUUUCGGCGGUUGGGGAUGGACUCGCGGCUUAUCAGCUUGUUGGUGGGGUAGUGGCUUACCAAGGCUUUGACGGGUAGCCGGCCUGAGAGGGUGACCGGCCACAUUGGGACUGAGAUACGGCCCAGACUCCUACGGGAGGCAGCAGUGGGGAAUAUUGCACAAUGAGCGGAAGCCUGAUGCAGAAACGCCGCGUGCGGGAUGACGGCCUUCGGGUUGUAAACCGCUUUCGCCUGUGACGAAGCGUGAGUGACGGUAAUGGGUAAAGAAGCACCGGCUAACUACGUG